rnacentral:misc_RNA from 1 species
AAACUGCGAAAAGUAAUGUGAACUGCAUGCUUUGUGAAACAUCGAAUCUUUGAAUGCACCUUGCACCGGGCGGCGUGCCGCGCGGUAUGCGUGUUUGAGCGGGGCGAGGGAGCGACGCGGGGGGAUAUAUGUAUGAUAUCGCGGGUCGCCGGUGAGAUCCACAACGUGUGCUUCUUCAAAUGGGGGGUGCGUGCGGCGGGCGUGCGGCGACGAGGUGGGCGGGCAGGGCAUCUCGGGGCGCGCGUCGGCGGCAGGCAUCGGGGCGGUGGCGUGGAGCGGGGGAGACCUUCUCCACCCACUCCAUUCCACCCUUCCCCUCAAAUCACGCAAGAGCACCCGCCGAACUUAA